GUUGAAUUUUGACCAGCCCUCGUCGUGGAUCAAUAUUCAAGUUUACGGUGUCGGAAAACAGUAUAGUGAAUGAUACGAAAUUGAAAUUUUGAAACACAGAUUUCUUAGCAAACUAAAAAGAACUUUUUAAUUGACACGUUCACAAUUAUGAUAAUUUUAAAAUACCUACUUCUUAUUAUUGCGUACUUGAGUGUAACUCUAUCAAUCCCCGAGGACAACAGCCGACGAAAAUUCACAAAUUAUGGAUACCAAAAACGCAACUCGAAAUCUGCUCAGGCUAAGAAAAACGUGGACGUCUGGUUUUUGCAACUUGCAGAGACCGACAAUCGAUGGGGAAGGAAGUUUUUCGAGCAACCAGGAGGAGGGCGCAGUAUACGACAGCGUAUUUACCAGAUCGAAAACUAGAACUAUUUACUUUAUAGGUAAAGAGUUUACACUUGAAAUCGUCAUAUUGUCCCUUUCCUCACUAGCUGUCGUAUCCGAAAUUAUUUGUCGUAAUUUGGUAAGCUUAUGAUCAUAAUGAACUUUCAAAAGUGAAGAUUCUUCUUUUUACCGAAGUGCAAACGACGCGAGCGAAACUUUCUGGACAUCCACUCAAAAUUACUCGGCAGUUCUUCAACCUAAACGCAUGAAAUUUGAAAAAACACAUUGGAUAUAUAACUAGAUAUAGUAACUAUUUUUUCAGAUCUCAAAAGAGUAUGUUUGUUUUUUUUUCAAACAAGCCAACGUUUACUGGUCCCUUUUGGUCACACCUGUGAUGGUAAAGUCUUCAAAAGUACAUUACAACAUUGAAUGUUCUUAGGUAAAUUAAAAAUAAAAUAGCGAAAAGGCAUUUUUUAACUUUUUUUACAUAUCUGGUUGUAAAAUCCCAAGUCGUUAUCAUUUAUUUGUUUUGUUUGCUGCAGUAGUUACUAUUUGGCAUCAAGUAACCAGAAAUAGAGACGAAAUGUCAGUUAAUUUGUUUGAAAACUAUUCUGCCAAAUCAUUACGGUAACUGUGCUUCGAUUGGC